rnacentral:rRNA from 1 species
CACACUAUCAUUAACUGAAUCCAUAGGUUAAUGAGGCGAACCGGGGGAACUGAAACAUCUAAGUACCCCGAGGAAAAGAAAUCAACCGAGAUUCCCCCAGUAGCGGCGAGCGAACGGGGAGGAGCCCAGAGCCUGAAUCAGCAUGUGUGUUAGUGGAAGCGUCUGGAAAGGCGCGCGAUACAGGGUGACAGCCCCGUACACAAAAGCGCAUGUGCUGUGAGCUCGAUGAGUAGGGCGGGACACGUGGUAUCCUGUCUGAAUAUGGGGGGACCAUCCUCCAAGGCUAAAUACUCCUGACUGACCGAUAGUGAACCAGUACCGUGAGGGAAAGGCGAAAAGAACCCCGGCGAGGGGAGUGAAAAAGAACCUGAAACCGUGUACGUACAAGCAGUGGGAGCACAGGUUUACCUGUGUGACUGCGUACCUUUUGUAUAAUGGGUCAGCGACUUAUAUUCUGUAGCAAGGUUAACCGAAUAGGGGAGCCGGAGGGAAACCGAGUCUUAAUUGGGCGUUAAGUUGCAGGGUAUAGACCCGAAACCCGGUGAUCUAGCCAUGGGCAGGUUGAAGGUUGGGUAACACUAACUGGAGGACCGAACCGACUAAUGUUGAAAAAUUAGCGGAUGACCUGUGGCUGGGGGUGAAAGGCCAAUCAAACCGGGAGAUAGCUGGUUCUCCCCGAAAGCUAUUUAGGUAGCGCCUCGUGAAUUCAUCUCCGGGGGUAGAGCACUGUUUCGGCUAGGGGGCCAUCCCGGCUUACCAACCCGAUGCAAACUGCGAAUACCGGAGAAUGUUAUCACGGGAGACACACGGCGGGUGCUAACGUCCGUCGUGAAGAGGGAAACAACCCAGACCGCCAGCUAAGGUCCCAAAGUCAUGGUUAAGUGGGAAACGAUGUGGGAAGGCCCAGACAGCCAGGAUGUUGGCUUAGAAGCAGCCAUCAUUUAAAGAAAGCGUAAUAGCUCACUGGUCGAGUCGGCCUGCGCGGAAGAUGUAACGGGGCUAAACCAUGCACCGAAGCUGCGGCAGCGACACUCAGGUGUUGUUGGGUAGGGGAGCGUUCUGUAAGCCUGCGAAGGUGGCCUGUGAGGGUUGCUGGAGGUAUCAGAAGUGCGAAUGCUGACAUAAGUAACGAUAAAGCGGGUGAAAAGCCCGCUCGCCGGAAGACCAAGGGUUCCUGUCCAACGUUAAUCGGGGCAGGGUGAGUCGACCCCUAAGGCGAGGCCGAAAGGCGUAGUCGAUGGGAAACGGGUUAAUAUUCCCGUACUUGGUGUUACUGCGAAGGGGGGACGGAGAAGGCUAUGUUGGCCGGGCGACGGUUGUCCCGGUUUAAGCGUGUAGGUGUGUGUUCCAGGUAAAUCCGGUUCACUUUAACACUGAGGCGUGAUGACGAGGCACUACGGUGCUGAAGCAACAAAUGCCCUGCUUCCAGGAAAAGCCUCUAAGCAUCAGGUAACAUCAAAUCGUACCCCAAACCGACACAGGUGGUCAGGUAGAGAAUACCAAGGCGCUUGAGAGAACUCGGGUGAAGGAACUAGGCAAAAUGGUGCCGUAACUUCGGGAGAAGGCACGCUGACACGUAGGUGAAGUGAUUUACUCAUGGAGCUGAAGUCAGUCGAAGAUACCAGCUGGCUGCAACUGUUUAUUAAAAACACAGCACUGUGCAAACACGAAAGUGGACGUAUACGGUGUGACGCCUGCCCGGUGCCGGAAGGUUAAUUGAUGGGGUCAGCGCAAGCGAAGCUCCUGAUCGAAGCCCCGGUAAACGGCGGCCGUAACUAUAACGGUCCUAAGGUAGCGAAAUUCCUUGUCGGGUAAGUUCCGACCUGCACGAAUGGCGUAAUGAUGGCCAGGCUGUCUCCACCCGAGACUCAGUGAAAUUGAACUCGCUGUGAAGAUGCAGUGUACCCGCGGCAAGACGGAAAGACCCCGUGAACCUUUACUAUAGCUUGACACUGAACAUUGAGCCUUGAUGUGUAGGAUAGGUGGGAGGCUUUGAAGUGUGGACGCCAGUCUGCAUGGAGCCGACCUUGAAAUACCACCCUUUAAUGUUU